CCCGGCAUCGGGAUACGGUUAAAGCCUUCGGGCGGUACAAGAUGGCCAUGCGUCCCAUUAGCUAGUUGGUAAGGUAACGGCUUACCAAGGCUACGAUGGGUAGGGGCCCUGAGAGGGGGAUCCCCCACACUGGUA
rnacentral:rRNA from 1 species